rnacentral:rRNA from 1 species
CAGCAGCCGCGGUAAUACAGAGGGUGCGAGCGUUAAUCGGAUUUACUGGGCGUAAAGCGUGCGUAGGCGGCUUCUUAAGUCGGAUGUGAAAUCCCUGAGCUUAACUUAGGAAUUGCAUUCGAUACUGGGAAGCUAGAGUAUGGGAGAGGAUGGUAGAAUUCCAGGUGUAGCUGUGAAAUGCGUAGAGAUCUGGAGGAAUACCGAUGGCGAAGGCAGCCAUCUGGCCUAAUACUGACGCUGAGGUACGAAAGCAUGGGGAGCAAACAGGAUUAGAUACCCCAGUAGUCCCUGUCUCUUAUAC